GGGCGUUUAGCUCAGUGGCAGAGCGUCACAUUGACAUUGUGAAGGCCGCAGGUUCAAUCCCCGCAACGCCCACUA
rnacentral:tRNA from 1 species